GAUGAACGCUAGCGGCAGGCCUAAUACAUGCAAGUCGAACGGUGUCUUCGGACAUAGUGGCGCACGGGUGCGUAACACGUAUGCAACCUACCUUACAUUGGGGGAUAGCCUUUCGAAAGGGAGAUUAAUACCGCAUAAGACAGUAGCUGGGCAUCCAGCAGCUGUUAAAGAUUUAUCGAUGUAAGCUGGGCAUGCGUCCAAUUAGCGAGUUGGUGAGGUAACGGCUAACCAAGGCAAUGAUUGGUAGGGGAACUGAGAGGUCAAUCCCCCACACUGGCACUGAGAUACGGGCCAGACUCCUACGGGAGGCAGCAGUAGGGAAUAUUGGGCAAUGGACGCAAGUCUGACCCAGCCAUGCCGCGUGCAGGAUGAAGGCGUUAUGCGUUGUAAACUGCUUUUAUACAGGAAGAAACGACUCUUGCGAGAGGCAUUGACGGUACUGUAUGAAUAAGCACCGGCUAACUCCGUGCCAGCCGCCGCAGUAAAAC
rnacentral:rRNA from 1 species